GUACGCGUGCACACGCACCUACAUCCUGCCCACAGCGUUUCAUUCUUCUCCCUGCCCAGAACGCCUCUAACUGCUAUUUGGGACAACCUAGCCCCAUGGAGCCGUCUCCUCCUUGUCCCUUCCUCGCUCAUCGUUCUGGGCAUCUGCGGCCCGAACACAUGUCCUCUGCAGCCAAGCUGCCUGAGACCUGCUCUCCUUACAAAAGAAUCCGUUUCCACUAAACCCCUGAGCGUUUCACAUGUCGUCAUUAGAAAGCCUCUUGUUUACUCAUCUUCUUUAGUUUAUUUGCCCAGUCCACAAAAAUAUUUGGUCGGCGUGACUUCCUGUAACCAAAUGUGGGUGCCCUGCCGAAAGGUAUCAAGCCGCCUGUACUUUGAUGAGGCUGUGGCUGGGGCCGACCGCCAUUUUGAAACAAGCACAGACCACAAGAAUGCUGGGCAGGGCCUACCCCCUGCAACUGUAGCCAGAUUUCAGCGCCGUGGGACCCAUGAAUCACAGGCGUCUGGAGAGGCCUAUUUUAUAAUUUUGCUGUUUUUCAAUGUCAAGCCCAUCUUUUGAAGAAUUUUUAUUGGAUUUCCUGCUAGACUUCAAUGAGGAUUUUUCUUGCUUUGGCAGAAGUAUCAAGCAGAACAGGGGAAAAACUCAAUCAUCGUCUUGGAGAGUCGUGAUGCAUGACCCCCUCAGAGCUGCGGAUACCCCAAGAAUGGACAGGAAGGGCUCCAUCCCGGAGGCCCUGGUUUACCAGCCACAGCGACGGUCUCUGCUCCUGCUCCCAGGCAACAUUCAGAUCUUCAGCGUUUCUUCACAGAGAUUCUUCCCCAGAGGAAGCAGCUUGCCACCUGUUCCUCAGUUUACCCGUGUUCGCCUAAAAAAAAAAACAAGAAAAUGAGCCCUCUUCCUUCUUAACGGAGCCUGAGAUAAAGACAAGUCAGAAGAUGGGCCUGUGUUCCUGCCUCUCUCCAGCAGCCCAGGCUCAGCGAAAACAGCUUCUCUUGCGAGCUGAAACUUACCCAAACGAACCAGGAAUAAAAACUUUUAGAAGCAAACGUAACCUUUGGAGCUGCUUGCAUUUGUACCCUCUUGACGUGUGCCUACAAUGAACGUGGGAGAAGAGAGGAGAGAGCCGAGGUGUCGUGGAAGGGAUUUUAGACAUCGGAGGACUCCAGGUCUGAUCCCAGCUCCGCCAGUGGGCCAUCAGUAUGACCUGAGACCAAGGCUUCCCCUCCCAGACCCCCAUUUCUUUAUCUCAGUGGUGAAAGGUUGAACCAAAUGACCUCCUGUCCUCUGACUCUUAGGGAGCUUCGUCUUUCCGUGGCACCCAUGCUGGUCUGGACAGAACUGGAGGGUGUAGAGUUUGAGCAGCACCUGUGUUUACACUGUACAAUCUGCAGUUUACUGUAAUAAAAUCAUUUAAUACACUCAUAAUUUUUUUGGCAAGGGGUUGUGUUUAUGGUGAGCAAGACGGAGAGGGAAUGAUUGACUACCACUGAUUAAAACGAUAAAUCAAAAACAAAGGAGGGAGGACUCGAAGAGCACAAAGCCACAGGCAAAUCCAAUUUAAGUCUCAAGUUCUGUGCCUUUGUGGGAACAAUUGCGUCUGAUGAUGAGCCAGCCCUGGAGGUGCCCCCCCCAACCCACCGCCCACGGCUGGGGUGGGGGGUGGGCGAGGUGGAGGCAGGGAUUCCUACCGCUUCACUCCCCAGGGUUUUAUCCUCUUUGGGUAGAAAAAUAAGGAAAUGGUUUGACAAGAACCAGUUUUACAAGAACUAGUUUUCUUGGGCCACCGUCCUCCGAAAGGAUUCGGAGGGAGGGCCAGGAAUAAAGGAGUGCAUGCGCACAUGCUUGUGCGUGUCCAGGUAGAAUAAUUUGAGCAAGACCUAGAAGGACUUCUCAGA